UAUAAAAUUUUCAUUUGAUACAAUCUGUGCCAUAAAAGUCUAAAAUUGUGUGCUGCAAACGCUGUCCAAUGGACCAAGUAAGGGGCUGUGUGUGCUCUAUUUAGGGAUGGGAACAGUCUCUUAGGUCUUAGGUGCUGGGCUCCUGCAGACUUACAGGACGAUUGAUAUUGCUGUCACUGGUUAAACUGCAGGUGCCACAAAGCUGAGACAUGGUCCAUAUCAGCAGCCUGAACACCCCUCAGCAAACAUGGACAAUAGGUGCUUUCAACAGCUUCAUACUAAUGUUAAGCAUAAUGUUGCUUUUAUAACCUACAGCAUGGUGUCUUCUGAUCAUUAGGUACCGGGGAGGUGUACUCAGCUGUAGGUCUGAAGGUGAGAAACAACAGUACAAUUUGAAUUUCCCAGCCUUCUGCUCCCUGCCUCAAUCCAGCAGCAAGCUUGGUUUGGUUCCAGUGUGCAUCUGUCUUAGUAACAGAGCAGUAAAAAUUCAGUCUGUAAAGGCCAGCAAAACAGCUUAUAAGUUGCCAGUGGUUUUGGUUUUCUGUUUUCUUUUUUUUUCUCUCUUCACAGCUUACACGCAUUUUUUGGGAACUGAGGUGCAUGGGCAGAUCUGCAUUGUCUGCCACGUCGUUCUUCCAUAGACCAACACUAAGAAAUAAGUAUCAAUGGCAAAACCUUUUAAUGGUUAGGCAGAACUUUUCACUCAAAAAAAAAUUUCAGUCCAUAUGCUGUUGUGGGAACAAGUAUUUCCAGCACCAUGAAUAAAACCAUAAAGCCAAGGUGAAUGCUGUACUGUUGGAAUGACUUAAAUGUGACCUGCUGCUGUACAGUAGCAUACAGAGUACCCCAUUUAUGAGGAAGAGUACAACAAAGAAGAUCUCGGCAACAAAGAAAUUCGCUUGCUCCCGGAAGGAAGUGCAGCAGUUAGAGACAUGCUUUCUCCUUGAGAAACUGGAGGUCUGGACCUCCAGGCAUGAAACAAACCUUCCUCCAGCUCUCAUGAAUGGAGAAGAAAGUGGAAACUACACUCCUGUAUACACACAGCACAAAGCUGCACGGAUUCAAAACUGCAUUAAACGGAAACCCUCUUCUUUCACAAAAGAAGUGCCCUCUUCUGUCAUAGUUUCCACCCUGGAAUGUUUCGCAAAAAAUACAUUCACAAGCUGUUUGUUGUGAACAGUGUCAAAACCACUAUUAAACACUAGUUUAUUGUUACUUUUAAGGCAUAGCAGCUGAUACUGUGUUUUGAAUGUGAGUCAGCUGUUCUUUUCAGGAGGAUUUUGAAGAGCAGUUACUGAUCUCUGGGGCCAGGCUGAGUUUAGUUCAAGCAGAUCUUCAUAAAGAAAGACUUGUUAAUCUCACACCAUUUCCUAUCCUAUGGCUGGCCUGCUGGUAGGUCCCCAAGGAAGUGCAUCAGUGCACUAAAGACAGUGUAAUUUCUAGUUUCUCACCACGUUUCUGAAAAUCUUUGAGAGUAGGUUCCCAGUUUUCCAAUUGUCUCUCCCCAUCAGGACCAGUUAUGCGUGUGGACAGCAGCCAAGGAUGCCGGAGGAGGUUUUCUCCCCAUUUUGCCUCUAGCAAGGAAGACAGAGUGCAGAUGUUUGAGCAGUACAUGGUGCCUGAAGAGCCACUCCAGUCCUCUCCCACAGCUCCUGUGGCCUUACAGCUCCCUGCUGCUGAGCCAGGUUUCUGUCAGGGCAAUAAGAACAGCGACCACUAGCUGUGGUUCACCAGUAUGGCCUUCUUCUUUCCCAGAAAGGAAAGAGAAAAGGUCAUCCCGAGUUUUCCAAGCUUUCUAAAGACUUCUCCCGGAACCAUAAAGCUUUUCCCAGUCUUUUUGUCCUUACUUUUGGAACAGCAACAUCUGUUUCACCCUCGCUGCCAAGCAGCUCAUUUCCUAGGUUCCCCAUGCAAUGGAUCAGUCCUACAGUGACAUGCACUUCCGCUUUAUAACCCUGAAAUGAAUUGGUAUCUACACAGAUCAGACUCUGAAUGCUACCACACACAAGUAUCAGCAGAAUGGAUGUUGCAUACAAAUGGCAUUUUUCUGGUGACUUCUUAAAGAGUACUAUCAAACCUUGUAUCUGUCCAGAAAGCAGUCUUUUUGGCAGCUAACCUGACCUUGUGGGCUGUCAGCACUGAUUUGUUUUCCGUACCACUUGGACUCAGAGAAGAAAAUUCCAUGCAGUUAUUUAUGGCCUCCCUGUAAGAUAACAUACAUCCAGAGAUGUGAGAUAAGGUGGUCUCCUACCAUGAAGUGGACUGUUCAGUGUGGUAUAACUCCACGACGUUGAUUGUAAUUUCAUCUUUCAUCACCAGCAGAGGGAGCAGCAGUGACUGAGCUGCACAAACCGUGGGGGUUUAAUCCACUCCAUCAGCCAAAUUCCCUCUGCAAACACCCUGAAAAACCUCUAGUGCUGUCAGCAGGAACCAAAGAAAAAUGUCUGAUCCUUGAAUACGUUAAAAUAUUCCUAUUUUCUUCAAAGUAAACUCUUGUGUACCCCCUUAAUUAAAUGAGUAGCAUCACAUUCACAGCUUUGUGAAAAAUAUAUGGCAUACGAGUGGUAUUUGGAAAGAGAUCAGAGACCUGACUACACAGACCAUAGCCAUCACAUCUCUUAAGCCAAAAUCAUGCUUCAGAGAUAUUUAGCAAACUCUGUUCCUGAUUUUGCAACUUAAACCACAGUUCUGUGGGAAGACACAGUUCAAAUAUGAAAACUAUAGUUACUUGAGACCUAAGAUUUUGAAAGAUGUUGGAAUGCAUUUCAAAAUUGUCAGUUGUUGUAGUUUGCUUUCAGACAGUGUUUAAAAGUGUCAGAAUCCUUAAAUCAGUCCUCAUUUUAGCAUUUUCAUUCAACCAAUCUAAAAAAAAAAAAAAAAAAGGGAAAUUCACAGCUGUUAAAAAAACUUCUAAGAGAAGACUGGAUUUAAAGCAGUGUAGUCCAUUACCAAAGCUCUGGGUUUGAACACUUCUGCUGUGGGAAAGCAGUAGAGAGACCCUCUGCUACACAACUCCUAAUUGAGUCCUAAUGUGCCAGUGAAUACAUUAGUUGGCUCUCUGACAUUUCACCCAUUUCAGUAAUCAUCUUCACCAAAUAUGAACACAUAUGCUAUUGUAGACUAGAUGACAAGGUUGUGCACAUGAACUCUGUCUUCCUUCAACCUUAUCAGCACCUCUAAUGGAAGACACUUUGACUACAAACAUGACGUGCUUAUAAACACAGCCAAGACAAACCCAGCAGCCCAGUUCCUGCCCAGGAUCAUGUCAGUUCAGCUCAUCCCAAAACCAGCCAUCUAAAACUGAAAGCCUAUCUACCAUCAUCAGCCUGACGUUUAUUACAUUAUUUCUGAUGAAUGUAAAGCAGUAAUAAUAUUGGGGAAAAUGGUAAUUAUGGAGACUUCAUAUUACAGGCAGAGAAAAGAUCAAGGGUUUGCUGGUGGUCUUGCAGGAAAAGAAGUGAGGGAUCUCAGAGUUGCUCUGGGCUCUCCCUCACUGUGGUAUCAACUCGCCUGGCUGUCAGAGAUGGUGCCUAAGGAAGCACUACUGCAGGUUACUCUCAGCCUGUCUAACCUGCUAAGGAUCUGGUCAGAAUGCCUGGCAGGUGGGAGGUGGACACAUGCUAUUUGAAAUGUUCACAGUGUUUCAUAAGUAAAUUAUACUUAGUCACCAAAAUUUCAUUUAUCCACUCUCAGUUUCCUGACAUGUCACUGGCACUCUGGAGUCUUUUAGCUAUUGGUGUCAAUAAUAUGAAAAAAUUAAAUCUUCUUACCUUGGGAGGCUUUACAGUAAUGACACACCACUCUUCAGAAUCCACAUCAGCAUGGUCCUCCCAGUCACUUAUUUGGUUGAGGGCAGGGCAUUGACCGUACAUUUUUUAAUACCUGCAAAGAAAGAAAUUUCGUAUCUUUCCUGACCAAAAGUAUCUUUGAUAAAUGUCAGUGUUACUGUGUCGAAACAGCUUAUUCAGUGGGCUAUCCUGCCAUAGGGGCUAAACAAAAGUCACAAGGCUUUAUUUUGUUAAAGAAAUAUAAUUUUAGCCACUUUGAAGAAAGGGCAGAGGAUGGAUUACAAGUGUAACUGUAGCAUUUCUUGUGUUUAUCACACUUAAAAUACAGCAGUGCAGUUUGGUUUGCAGCAUGUGAUCUUAUUAAUUUAUAUGCGUUCAUAUUAAUAAUUAAUAUUAAAAUCACUUUAAUUAAUUUUUGCCAUUGGAUUCCUUGAAAGGGAAUUUAAAGCAUGCUUUCACUGUAUAUUUAACACAGUCCAUUUUUUCAAUUUUGCUAUAUGUGAUUCCUCUUGAAUUUCUAAAGUAAUUUUUAUCAUUUCCCAGAAUUGUCUACCAUGUAAGAAAAGAACCAACAAUUUCGGAACUCAGAAGGAUGAGUGACACUAUUAACAGUGAUACUAAUAAUAAUUCAGCAAUUGAAGUUCUGUGUAUCUCUUUCAUAUAGCACUAGUCACUGGAUAUUAAUUAAUUACAUGGUAUUUACUAAUGUAGCUAAAAUGGGUCUGAGUUGUUGGACCCAUAAGCUGUUUUUGUCUGCAAUCUGCAAAGGUGAUAAUUUAUCUUUAAAAAAUAUUUCUUUACAAUGUUGCUUUCUGAUCACUGCAUCAUUGAUCACUAAAUCAGAAAUAUUUUUUGCCACUAGUACUGAAAGGCUAAAGUUUCCACAUGCUUUAAGUGCAUUCAUCAGCAACAUAAUUGCUCACUUUCCUAUAGCUUAAUUUGCCCAAACAUACAGAAAUCUGCUCCAAUGUUUUCAUUGAAGAUGACAAAUACGCAAUGAUACUGUGGGCUGUCUGGUUUUGGUUAUGAUCCAUAAGUGUAUGUGCUAUUUAACAACCAAUAAAAUAUGACAGGCAUAUAUAA